rnacentral:rRNA from 1 species
AGAGUUUGAUCCUGGCUCAGGAUGAACGCUGGCGGCGUGCCUAAUACAUGCAAGUCGAACGCAUUGAGAAAAGUGCUUGCACUUUUCAAUUUGAGUGGCGAACGGGUGAGUAACACGUGGGCAACCUACCUGAUAGCGGGGGAUAACGAGUGGAAACAUUCGCUAAUACCGCAUAACAAUAGAGAAGGCAUCUUCUUUAUUUAAAAGGCGCUUUCAAGCGUCACUAUCAGAUGGGCCCGCGGUGCAUUAGUUAGUUGGUGGGGUGAAGGCCUACCAAGACGAUGAUGCAUAGCCGAGUUGAGAGACUGAUCGGCCACAUUGGGACUGAGACACGGCCCAAACUCCUACGGGAGGCUGCAGUAGGGAAUCUUCCACAAUGGACGAAAGUCUGAUGGAGCAACGCCGCGUGUGUGAUGAAGGCUUUCGGGUCGUAAAGCACUGUUGUAUGGGAAGAAAUGCUAGGCUAGGAAAUGAGCUUAGUUUGACGGUACCAUACCAGAAAGGGACGGCUAAAUACGUGCCAGCAGCCGCGGUAAUACGUAUGUCCCAAGCGUUAUCCGGAUUUAUUGGGCGUAAAGCGAGCGCAGACGGUUGAUUAAGUCUGAUGUGAAAGCCCGGGGCUCAACCCCGGAAUGGCAUUGGAAACUGGUCGACUUGAGUGCAGUAGAGGUAAGUGGAACUCCAUGUGUAGCGGUGGAAUGCGUAGAUAUAUGGAAGAACACCAGUGGCGAAGGCGGCUUACUGGACUGCAACUGACGUUGAGGCUCGAAAGUGUGGGUAGCAAACAGGAUUAGAUACCCUGGUAGUCCACACCGUAAACGAUGGAUACUAGGUGUUAGGGGGUUUCCGCCCCUUAGUGCCGGAGCUAACGCAUUAAGUAUCCCGCCUGGGGAGUACGCACGCAAGUGUGAAACUCAAAGGAAUUGACGGGGACCCGCACAAGCGGUGGAGCAUGUGGUUUAAUUCGAAGCAACGCGAAGAACCUUACCAGGUCUUGACAUCCUUUGAAGUGAUUAGAAAUAGUCAUGUUCUCUUCGGAGACAAAGUGACAGGUGGUGCAUGGUCGUCGUCAGCUCGUGUCGUGAGAUGUUGGGUUAAGUCCCGCAACGAGCGCAACCCUUAUGUUUAGUUGCCAGCAUUCAGUUGGGCACUCUAGACAGACUGCCGGUGACAAACCGGAGGAAGGUGGGGAUGACGUCAGAUCAUCAUGCCCCUUAUGACCUGGGCUACACACGUGCUACAAUGGCGUAUACAACGAGUUGCCAACCAGCGAUGGUGAGCUAAUCUCUUAAAGUACGUCUCAGUUCGGAUAGGAGUCUGCAACUCGACUCCUUGAAGUCGGAAUCGCUAGUAAUCGCGGAUCAGCACGCCGCGGUGAAUACGUUCCCGGGUCUUGCACUCACCGCCCGUCA